ACGUUUGUGAAUAAAUUCAAAUUCACUAUUUAGUGACGAGUAUGCCACGAGUGUUGUCAUCCUCUCUCGCUCAUCAAAGAAAUCCUUGGAUCGUCGUCGUUCCCAACAAAGACAAAGUAUGAAUGCUCAACCGUGAACUAACAGAUUCUCAGAGUAAACGCGGCCGGUUUUCGAUACACGCAUGCACGCGACACGAUCCCGCGAUAGAAGGCACGAACAAGGAGAACCUCCUCGAAACACGGAGUGCCUCCGUGUACGCGCGUUUCACCGAAACAGCACGGCUGUUGGUAAUUGCCACGGCUGCGAGGAGAAAUCUAACGUAAAUCCAACGCGAUACGUUUAAUCCCGAGGAAGGGAUCACCUUCCAAGAAACGGAUCAAUUUUUACAUUUUUACAUCCGAAUCUUGUGAAACUUCUCCGAAACGGAGAAGAGUCCGUCUUCCAUCCGUCCGUCGAUAUUUCCAUCGAGAGCAUCUUUCGAGAUGCGAAAUAUCGAUUCAUCGAGAAGAAUUCCUGGGAGAAAUCUUGGGAACGGUGCGUAAAUUUCCUCUCCGAUCAAUUUGUUUCGCAUCUCCUGACGGAAACAAGAAGAAAGAGAGAGAAAAAAUAAAUAAAUAAGAAUCGCCCGUUUCCAGAUCGAUAUAUAUAUUAUCCCCGUCUCCGCGUGGACGAUGGAACACGAUGUCGAGAGACUUCUCUCAUCCGGAUAGAUAACCGACGAAGAAGGGAAAGAAGAAAUUGAAGGUAGGUUGGGACGAAUGGUAAUUGGGCGGAAAGAUAACGGAAAACGGUGUGGCGUGUCCCCCGGUUUGGUAAAGGUGAGAGAAGGUUGAAGGCUGGAGGAUUAUCGCGCGGCGGAGUUGGCAAGUGCGGGCGGAGGGGAGAGGAUAGAAGGUGGUACGUGCACCGUAUUGGUAUCGUUGGUACGCUCGCACCCAACGGUACACCCCGUUAACGCGCUGCCAUUUUCGAUAAGAGAGGUUGCAAGGACGACGGUGAUCGCGCUCGACGCGUAGGCAAGCUGCUCGUAAAGUGUUUAGCC